rnacentral:rRNA from 1 species
UAAACUAUAAGAAUUUUAAAUAAAAUGACCCGAAAUAAAAAGAUCAAAAAAGUUAUAGGAUUUUGAAUUAAAGUUAAAUAUGUAGUAUAAUAUAAACUUUAAUAACUUUUUAGAGGUGAUAUUCCAACAAUUUUUAUGAUAGCUGGAUUAAGGGGAAAAGUAUUAAGUACUUAAAACAAUUAUAAAGUGAUAAGAUUUUAUAAGUUAAAUAAGUUGUUUUUGAUUGACCAGGGUUAACCCCCUGAAAGUUCGUAAUUUCUAUCAUAUUUUAAAUAUAUUUUUUUAUGAUUACCCUUUAAACUAAAGUUAAUUAAGGCUUAAGUUUAUAAUGUUUAAAUUAGUAUUUUUAUGUAAAUUUUAUUAAGGAACUCGGCAAAUAUUAUAUUCGACUGUUUAACAAAAACAUAGUCCAUUGCUGUUUAUAAUGGAUAUAGCCUGCCCGGUGAUUUUUAUUUAACGGCCGCAGUACCUUGACUGUGCGAAGGUAGCAUAAUAAUUUGGCCUUUAAAUGGGGUCUAGAAUGAAAGGACUUACGAAUAGCAGCUGUCUUCACUUUAAUUAAAGAAAACUUAUUUAAAAGGUGCAAAUACCUUUAUAUUAAUAUAAUAGACGAGAAGACCCUUAGAAUUUAAUUUAAAAUAAAUAUUUUGUUUAUUUUGAUUUUGUUGGGGCAACAAAGCAGCAAGGUAUUUAAUCUGCUUUUGUUCAUAUCAUGGUAGGCCGACUAUUAGUAUGGAGAUGUAAAUUACCUUAGGGAUAACAGCAUAAUUUAAUAAAGAUUGUGACCUCGAUGUUGGAUUAGGGCCAUAAUAAUUUAACCAAUUAAUAUGUUAGUUCUGUUCGAA